AUCUUUUCCUUUUAACGACUUUUCCACCCUGAAAUCGGUUCAAUCAGAGAUAGGGUCCAACAUAUGGAAGAGCACCACAUGUCUUAUGGUGUUUGGUGCCCCCUUGGAGGCCAUUGAAAAUAUGGAGAACCGAGUACCAUCCAUGCCUAAUCGUACUCAUAUCUGCCUCCUUGU
rnacentral:ncRNA from 1 species